rnacentral:rRNA from 1 species
UACGGAGGAUCCGAGCGUUAUCCGGAUUUAUUGGGUUUAAAGGGUGCGCAGGCGGAAUAUUAAGUCGGCGGUGAAAGUUUGCAGCUUAACUGUAAAAUUGCCGUUGAUGCUGGUAUUCUUGAGUGUAUAUGAAGUAGGCGGAAUUUGUAGUGUAGCGGUGAAAUGCAUAGAUAUUACAAGGAACUCCGAUUGCGAAGGCAGCUUACUAAACUACUACUGACGCUCAUGCACGAAGGCGUGGGGAUCAAACAGGAUUAGAUACCCCGGUAGU